GGGCCCGUAGUCUAGUACGGAUUAUGACACUGGCCUGCGGAGCCGGAGGUCCUGGGUUCAAAUCCCAGCGGGCCCGCCA
rnacentral:tRNA from 1 species